CGGGAGGCGGGCAGCCCGCCUGCGGUUGGGGGAACGGAGCCGCGUCACCGCCGGAUUCCCCAGCCCCCCUGCACAAGGUCUCCUGGGGCUGCAGCCUCCCGCCCCAGGUCCCGCCCUGCUGCGCCCUCCCUUGCCGGGCGCCUCCCGCCCGCGUCUGCUCUCACCGCAUCGUCGCUGCAGGAGGAAGAGAGACCGGGAGCGAGGGGUUAACAUGGGCCUGUGUCCUGUCCUGCCAGCCCAACAGCUCCCCCGUCCUCGGGUCCUAGGAGGUCUGAUUCCCAAACUUCCGUCGUGCAGACACCCGGGAGUCCUGUCUCCACCUCCCCUCUCAGGCCGUGUGCCCAGCCUCGCAGGAUCCAGGUGUGGCCCAGACUCUCGCAGGCAACAGCACAGAGAAACCCACUUCUAGUUUACUUGGAACUAGGUCUCCUCUCUUGACCACCCUAGGCCCUCCCCUUCCCCAGCCCUGGAGACAAGACUGAGGACAGGAAAGCUACACGGGCACACGGAGAAGAGGACCCCGCUCUCUUUACUUGGACCAUGUGGGUGCUGACUAGCCCUGGAGAGCAGACCACCCCAAACCCCAGUUAAAACAGGACCUCUGGCGACAAGGGGACCACACGGAGGGCCUGAGCCUCAGGGCCAGAUCGCCAGGCUGUGUGUAGAGGCUCAGGAAUGGGAUGGAGAACUCUGAGAGAACCAUCUAGAAUUCUAAGAACAGACUAUAGCAUCCCAGGAAUGUAAUCUGAAAUUCUAGCAACACCUCUGAAGCUGAUUGAGAA